rnacentral:lncRNA from 1 species
GAGGAAAAAUGGGAACGUGGGGAGAAGACGUGAGGCGGCAGAUCUGAAAAAGAUGGUCAUUCCGGACUCCUGACGCCGCCAGUCCCGCGGAGACAAAAAGCUCGAUGACAGCUCCAGGUCUGCUGAAGAUGUCAAGAAUCUGUAUUAAUAUACAGCAAGAGAGCAUAAUUGUGUGUCCAUCUUCCAGAGCAGCGAAAAAUGGAGGGAUAAUUACCAGCUCGAAAGCCACUCUGUAAUUUAGUUCUUACUGUCACCACAGCCCUACACAUUAGCAUAAAUUAAAAGCAGAGUUUAUUGUUA